rnacentral:rRNA from 1 species
CCCGCACAAGCGGUGGAGUAUGUGGUUUAAUCGAUGCAACGCGAAGAACCUUACCUGGUCUUGACAUCCCGGAGACCCUUAGGAAACUAGGGGGUGCUUCCAUCUGGAAGAAUCUGGAGACAGGUGCUGCAUGGCUGUCGUCAGCUCGUGUCGUGAGAUGUUGGGUUAAGUCCCGCAACGAGCGCAGCCCUUGCCUUUAGUUGCCAGCAGUUCGGCUGGGCACUCUAAAGGGACUGCCGGUGUUAAACCGGAGGAAGGUGGGGAUGACGUCAAGUCCUCAUGGCCUUUAUGACCAGGGCUACACACGUACUACAAUGGCCGAUACAAGGGCAGCGACACUGCGAGGUGAAGCCAAUCCCGUAAAAUCGGUCUCAGUCCGGAUUGGAGUCUGCAACUCGACUCCAUGAAGUUGGAAUCGCUAGUAAUCGUGGAUCAGCAUGCCACGGUGAAUACGUUCCCGGGCCUU